AGAGCUAACCCCUUUCUUGGAAGUGCUCAACCAAGGGGGUUAGCCUGCGGGCACUCUCCCCAUGUGAUGGUGUAUCGCUCGGCCCCGGCGUGCAGCGUCAUUGAUUUGACAGCAGUGGGAGCCAAUGGCCGCACUGCUAUCAAUCGUCCAAUGAAGAGCCGGCUCAAGUAAGUAAAACAGGGGCUCGAGGGGCUGUUGAGUGCAAGGUUUCGCCUUAAUGCAUAGGAUGCAUUAAGAUGAAAAACGGCUUUACCAACCCCUUUAAUUAACUUGACAGAGCUAGGACCAGAGGUAACAUUUGACUCUCUUGCAGACUGGCAUUGCUAGAGUACCAUUGGCAGGAGCAGCUGGAGGACCCAGAGUCAGAAGAGCAGCUGGUAGGUGUGCCAGCUGGUGCUCCUAUGCCGCAAGCCCCUGCUGGCUUGGCAGGCCCCGUCAGAGGCAGGUAAACCAUUUGCAUGCAGUUGGUAUGCUUGGGAAUCACGUAAGCACAUGAGAUGCUUUCUAUAGUCCUUUACCAAUAUUCUCUAAAGCACUGCUUAUGUUUCAUUCCAUUCUGUGAAAAAUGAAACUUGCAAAACAAUCUGUAUGGCAGUAAUAUAUACAGUAGCUUCAGCUUGAAAUGGCUUGUGUAGACCCUGAAUCGCUAGGGUAACCGUGCUGUCUUAUCGUGCUGUCUUAUCGUUCACUCUUCUUGAGGCUCCACUCACUGUGGAGGCCUGUUUUAUGUAUGUUGCCUUUUUGGUGGACUUUACUACUGCCCUACAUUUAAGAGCCCCUUUUACUUAUUGAUGCUCCAUUCACAUUUGUCAAGCAUUGACUUUACUGUUUAUGUAAUUUUGGAAUACUUAUUACACUCCAGUUGUCUCUCCCUUGAUGUUUGCUGGAUAUCAUCCUGGCAUUUUCUGAUAAAGUGUAUUUAUAUACCUGUACAGGUUGUUUUUGUAUUUUGGAAAACUUCAAUCUAACUUAUUGAAGGUGAAAUUGUUUUGUCAUUGCAGGUGAUGACGCCUCAGAGCUGCGACAAUGUUGCCGCUGCUGCAGCAGCCACAGCUAGUAUCACUGGGGCCCCAACACAGUAUGCUGCUGGACGUGUAGAUCCACCGCCACCAAUGGGUCAUGGAGCACCCCCACCAGGUGAUCACACCAGAGCUGUAGGAAUGUUGCUGCAGCAGCCACAGUUGGUAUUGCUGGGGCCCCAACACAGUAUGCUUCUAGAGGACGUGGAGGUCCACCGCCACCAAUGGGUCAUGGAGCACCCCCACCAGGCAUGAUGGUUCCACCAAUGGGCAUGCCCCCAGGCAGAGGAGGACCAAUGGGAAUGCCACCACCUGGAAUGAGAGGCAAUGACACCUCAGAGCCGUGGCAACAUUGCCGCAGCAUUCACAGCUAGUAUUGCUGGGGCCCCAGCAUUGUGUGCUGCUGGACGUGGAGCUUCACCACCAUCAAUUGGCUGUGGAGCACCCCCACCAGGCAUGAUGGGCCCACAUCCAGGCAUGAAGGCCACCCAUGGGUCCACCAAUGGGCAUGCCCACAGGCAGAGGACCAAUGGGAAUGCCACCACCUGGAAUGAGAGGUGAUGACACCUCAGAGCCGUGGCAACAUUGCCGCUGCAUCCACAGCUAGUAUUGCUGCAGCCCCAGCACGGUGUGCUGCUGGAGGACGUGGAUGUCCACUGCCACCAGGCAUGAAACCAUCUAUGGGCAAUGCCCUCAGGCAGAGGAGGACCAAAUGGUACCGCCACCUGGAAUUAGAGGUGAGGACACCUCUGAGCCAUGGCAAUGUUGCUGCAGCAGCCACAGCUAGUAUUGCUGGGUCCCCAACAGUGUGCUGCUGAAGGACAUGGAGGUCCACCACCAUCAAUGGGCUGUGGAGCACCCCCACCUGGGGAUCACACCAGAGCCGCAGCAAUGUUGCUGCUGCAGCCACAGCUAGUAUUGCUUGGUCCCCCAACAGUGUGCUGCUGGAGGAUGUGGAGGUCCACCGCCACAAAUGGGUCAUGGAGCACCCCCACCAGGCAUGAUAAGCACACCUCCAGGCAUGGGUCCACCAAUGGGCAACCUCCAGGCAGAGGAGGCAAAAAUGGGAAUGCUGCAACCUAAUGAGACUGCCACCAUCUGGAAUGAGGUGAUGACACCUCAGAGCUGUGGCAAUGUUGCUGCAGCAGCCACAGCUAGUAUUGCUGGGGCCCCAACAGUGUGCUGCUGGAAUGUGGAUUUCCACCAAUGGGCUGUGGAGCACCCCCACCAGGCAUGAUGGGCCCACCUCCAGGCAUGAGGUCACCAAUGGGCAUGCCCCAGGCAAAUUAGGACCAAUGGGAAUGCCACCACCUGGAAUGGGAGGUGAUACCUCAGCAGUGGCAACGUUGCUAUAGCAGCCACAGUUUUUCUAGGGCCCCAACAGUGUGCUGCUGAAGGACAUGGUGGUCCGCCGCCACAAUGGGUCGUGGAGUACCCCCACCAGGUCCUCCACCACCAAGCAUGAGGCCAACCAGGCCAUGAUCCAAGCUGCCUGAAGACUUCACUUGUACAUCUGGUGUUCCUCAUUGGCUCUUGUCAUGGGACUGUUUAAAUGUUUUGUAACCUUUUCUUUGUAAAUUUUUAAUAAAGUAAAAAAAACUCA